rnacentral:rRNA from 1 species
UACGGGGGGAGCAAGCGUUGUUCGGAUUUACUGGGCGUAAAGGGCGCGUAGGCGGCCACCGCAAGUCGACUGUGAAAUCUCUGGGCUUAACCCAGAAAGGUCAGCCGAUACUGCGGGGCUAGAGUGCAGAAGGGGCAACUGGAAUUCUCGGUGUAGCGGUGAAAUGCGUAGAUAUCGGGAGGAACACCAGUGGCGAAGGCGACUUCCUGGCCUGUUCUUGACGCUGAGGCGCGAAAGCUAGGGUAGCAAACGGG